GGGUCAGUAGGUUGGUCGUGCCACCGGUACGUACUGGUCUCACUGAUUCCUCCUUCCUGAAGAACCGUAAUGCCAUUAAUUUGGUGUUGCGGGGAAACAGGACUGUUACUUUGAAAAAUUAGAGUGUUUAAAGCAAGCUAACGCUUGAAUACAUUAGCAUGGGAUAAUGAAAUAGGACGAUCGAUCCUAUUUUGUUGGUUUCUAGGAUUGACGUA
rnacentral:rRNA from 1 species